AUCUGCCAAGGCUAAAUACUCCCUGGCGACCGAUAGUGAAGCAGUACCGUGAGGGAAAGGUGAAAAGCACCCCGGAAGGGGAGUGAAAUAGAUCCUGAAACCGUGUGCUUACAAGAAGUCAGAGCCCGAUCUAUGGGUGAUGGCGUGCCUUUUGUAGAAUGAACCGGCGAGUUACGUUCCCGUGCAAGGUUAAGGUGAAGAGCUGAAGCCGCAGCGAAAGCGAGUCUGAAUAGGGCGAAUGAGUACGUGGACGUAGACCCG
rnacentral:rRNA from 1 species